rnacentral:lncRNA from 1 species
AGUUAUUGCUCAUUUAACGGCAGCAGCGCUGACAUACAUACAUUGUGGAAUCAAUUUAAAGACCUUGUAAAUGAUUGCAUAAAGCGCUUUGUUCUUUGUAUGCUAAAGAAAAGAAAAGGCAAAUCUCCUUGGAUUUCACGGGACACAUUGCAAUUAAAAAGACGGUUAAAGCGCCUGAAGACAAGAAGAGGUACCGCAAGAGACUUAGACGCUUUGCUUACUAAAAUUUCCAAACUCUCUUCCGAGCUAAAAAUGAAAGUUUCUUCAGACAAGCAACGCUACUUUGGGGAGAAACUUCCCAAAUUUAUUUCAACAUCCCCUGAAAAGUUCUGGAGGAUGAUUUCUCCCACUAAGCAAAUAAAUUAUGCUUUCGUCGUAAAUGGUGUUUUGAGUGAUGAUAGUGCAGUAAUAGCAGAUGCAUUUAACUUACACUUUCGAUCUGUGUUUACACAUGACAAUGGUUCAUUGCCAUACUUUCAUGCUUCAUACCCCCCUAUGUCUGAUAUUACUAUUAAUGAGAAUGGAACACUUAGCAUGCUCCUUAACCUUGAUAUAAAAAAAUCACCCGGUCCUGAUGGUUUGCCAAAUGAAUUCUUAAAGCGUUAUGCGCCAUGGGUCUCUAAAU